GUUAUAAUAGUUUAAAAAAAACAUUAAUUUUGUAAAUUAAAAUUAUUAAUAUUAUUUAUAACU
rnacentral:tRNA from 1 species